UGGGGAAUCUUGCACAAUGGAGGAAACUCUGAUGCAGCGAUGCCGCGUGAGUGAAGAAGGCCUUCGGGUUGUAAAGCUCUUUCGAUUGGGAAGAAGGGUGCUACUGCGAACAGUUGUAGCAUUUGACGGUACCUAGAGAAGAAGCACCGGCUAACUCCGUGCCAGCAGCCGCGGUAAUACGGAGGGUGCAAGCGUUGUUCGGAAUUAUUGGGCGUAAAGCGCACGUAGGCGGGUUUGUAAGUCGAUUGUGAAAUCCCCGGGCUCAAUCCGGGAACUGCAGUCGAAACUACAAAUCUUGAAUGCUCUAGAGGGUGACGGAAUUCCUGGUGUAGAAGUGAAAUUCGUAGAUAUCAGGAGGAACACCGGAGGCGAAGGCGGUUGCCUGGAGAUGCAUUGACGC
rnacentral:rRNA from 1 species